GAGAACCAUCCAUGAGAUAUUUAUUCCUUGCUUUGCAGGACGUUUAUUCUCCACUUUACCAAACAGACUCUUUUGCUUUGCAAGAUACUUAUUGCUUGUCCCUCACUAUCGUCAAGCACAGUUAUAAGACCUCGUUCAUUUGAGGCUAGCUUAUGAGUUAUUGAUAGUUCAAGACAGCCAUCCACAAGAUUUUUAUUCCUUACAUCGCAAGAUGUUUAUUUUUCGCUUUGGCAAAGAUAUUCAUUGGCUUCACGAGAUGCUUAUUCCUCCCCUCUCAAUAUGGUCAAGCAAAGCUAUAAGAUCUUGUCCAUUCGAUGCCAGUUUAUAAGUCUUCGAUAGUUGGAGAGAGCCAUUUGCAAGAUGUUCAUUCUCAUCCAUUAGCUUCACAAUAUGUUUAAUUCUCAUUCUUCAUUAUUGUCGAGCACAACUAUAAAAAUUCGUACAUCUAAGGCCAGCUAAUAAGUCUUUGAUAAUUCGAAAGAGCCAUCUAUGACAUGUUUUUUCCUUGCUUGGCGGGAUGUUCAUUCUCCACUUCGCUGUAAUUCAUUAGCUUUGUGAGAUUUUUGUUCUUCGUCCCUUACUAUUGUCGAGCACAUUUAUAAGUUCUCGUCCAUCUGAGGCCAGCUUAUAAGUCUCCAAUAGUUUGAGAGAGCCAUCCUUGAGAUGUUUAUUCCUUACUUCAUAAGAUGCUUUGCCAUGCUAGAUGCUUGCAUCCCGCCUUCCCAUAAAUAGAUUUCUUAACUUUACUAGAUGUGUAAUUCCCUGCUUUACCACUUUUCACUGUGAGGCAAGUCAUUUGCCUCCAAUACAUGUAUGAGCUGUCUACACAAAGCCUUUGUGCCACACUACAUUUAUCUUCGGAGAGCUCAUAACGCCUUUGCUUCAGCUACAUCACAACUGCCUAUCUUUCAGAGAAUUGCUUCUACUUCAACUAUGUCAUAGCUUCACCUAUCUUCAGAGAGCUUACAUUAUCCCUUGUAUGAUAUACCAUCCACCAUGUAGGAAGUCCUUAGCAUGGAUCAACCAUACAUUAUGCAAAGAUGUCAUUUACCACUCCGAAAUGAGAUAUGUGGGCCUAUUUGAUUCCUACAUAAAAAAAGAGCCUUUCAUGGAUGAACGAUCCACCAUAAAAGAAGUCCUUAGCAUGGACGAACCGUUCACUAUGCAAGGAUGAUAGUUUUUUUUUUUUUAGCUAGAGACGUAUGGAGCUUCACAAUGGGAGGAGCCCAUCCUAAAAACCUACAAAGUCGACCUAUAUUUAGAGCUUCACCUCUACAUUACCUCCACCACAGCUUCUUAUAUUCAAAGUCUCAUUUUUGCAUCAAUUUCAUCACAAAUGCUUAUAUUAGAGUCUCCUCUCUGCAAUAGCUUUACCACAGGUACUUAUAUUUACAAUCUUGCCUCGACAUCAUAGCUGCUUAUAUAUUUAGAGACUCAUCUCUACAUCAACUUUAACAUAACUACUUAUAUUCAGAGUCUAGCUGUGUAUGAACUUCAUCAUAGCUUCUUAUAUUCAACACUCAUCUCUGCAUUAACUUUAUCACAACAACUUAUACUCAAAGCCUCGUCUCUAUCUAAAAGUCCAUCAAUUGUAUGAAUUUCUAUAUGAGGACUUUUAAGGACUAUUGUGAUACUAGUAUCUUAAUAAUAUUACAUUAUUACUGUUAGCAUAUACAUUAUAUUAUUGCUGUCAAGUACGCAUGCCAUAUCAUUGCAGCAUGUCAUAAUACUAUUUCACUACGUCAAUGCGCAUGCCACAUUAUCUACGUAAUCAUCUUAUUAUCGAUAUCAUGUCACUUGUUUCACACUAGCAAGUUUGAUCUAAUCAUCAUUUUACUUUAUAUGGAAGGAAAAAUGGGCCCCAAUUUAUUUGUAUAUAUGUAGUAGAUAUACUGUAUUGUAUUUUAGAUUGGUUUAGUCCAUAUUACAAAGGAAAUACUAUGAAAAUUUUGGUAAACCAUGGCGUGAUAUUUCAAAGGUAAUCUGUAAGUCCUCGCUUAUUUAGGCUCACAUAGAUAUUUUUGAGGUAGUUUGUAAAUCCUCACUUAUUUGAGUGAUUUAUAUUCUUGAGGUAAUUCGUAAGCCCUCACCUAUUUGGGAUCGAUAUAUAUUUUUGAGGCAGUUCUAAGACCUCACUUAUUAGAGUUGUUCGUAUUUUUUUCCGAGGCAAUUUGUAAACCGUUCUAGUUGACAACUUCCAUUUCGAAGUCCGUCCUUCAAAUGAAUGUAAGACUCGGACUUGAAAGAUUAUUCUUAUAUCUAUAAAUUACGUGAUAUACGUGUGAUAGAGAUGGUCCUACACAUGCCCACUCGGCAUUGAUUAUUCAAUUAGAUUGGACAUAUUUAAUCAAAUAAUCGCAUCUUAGGUUCGGUCUAUUAGCCCCACUUGGCCAAUUUCCACUUAUACAUGUGUGUGAGAGAUCAUUUCACACCAAGGUAUGUAAUUUCAACCCUAGCCAAACCCCUCUCUCUUGCCUCUUGCAUUUAUUAUCUCUUGUCCAGUAGUUAACUUGAUUGUUGAAGUGUAAACAAUCGAUGCACCUUUUUCUCGGUUGAUGAUCUUUGCUUUCUAACAAUGUGUCCUAGUGCACAUGUGACGCCUGCAUAGAUGGGACACGGCUAGGAUUCUAUUAGCUACGUGUCCGUUGGAUUUUGAGGUCAAUAGUGUUGUAUUGCAUGUACUGGGGAUUCUCUGUGAUUCUCUUCUUGUGAAUUUUAGGCCAACAAUGGUUCGACGGUGGAAAACAUCCAUAGGAGUGCCGUCUGCGGUAGUGUAUACAGCUUCUUUUAUUACAGGAAUGACGAUUAGGGAUUCAUUCAUUGCAAAACGAAAUUCUUGCAUUUCGUGAUCUGCGCAAUUUUGUGGGAUCGAUGAACUAAUCAAUUUUGUUCAAAUUUAUUACACUUUUUAAAAUGUAUAGAUAGACGCCAUGUAGCACUUCAUGCAAGCAACAAAGAGUUAUUCCAACGUCAAGUUUUAUUAGGAUUGGUAUUCUCGUCUCCACCCAUAAGUACACGUUAUUUGAAAAUUAUAUGAUACAAA
rnacentral:lncRNA from 1 species